GAGUGGAAAUUUUUAUAUCAAUUGGUUUCAAUAAGAAAACAAGUGAAUCCCUAGAAAUGUGAGCAGUGUUUCUCAUAACAGUGGCCAGGGGAGGAGUAAAAGGGAAGUCUGCAGGUUUAUCCCUUUGUCAAAGCAGAAGCAGAACCCCAAAGAAAGGGCCCACUUCCCUCCAUUCAGCUGGGAGCCCAGAGACCACACUCAGACAAGUUUAGGACAGCAGCUGAGGGAGGGUGGAGGCAGCCAAAGGCUAGGCCAGAGAGACGACGGUGGGCCGGAGUCUGGGAACAAAGCUUCCUCGGUGGCAUCACCAUGGGGGCGUCAUGGGCUGAGGAUUCUGCAGAUAGGACAUCACCACGGCGGAGAUUGAGAGAUCCUCACAUGAAGCUACUCAUCAUCUGCUUAGUGUCUUCCGAGCUCCGGGAGUUGGCAAAGCUGAUAAAGGAGCAGUAGACAGCAACCCAAGCACACCACUUCAGCUGAAGAAAGCUUAAGCAUGAGGCCGCACAUGCUAAAGAUCAUGCCGAGAAGAUUCAUGUAGUCCGGAGUCGGGUCAUCCAAAGCCGGAUUGCACUCACUCGGAGGAGGCUUAUACCUGCGACAUCACUUUGUUGGGCCUCCGUGGGUCGGACAUAUUGUUGGUGGACAUAGCAAACUGAAGACCACGCCGUCCUUCUUUCACCGCUAGAACAGCUGCUUCCGGCGUGAGAAUGAAGGAUGGUUUUUAGAGUAACACCAGUAGCCUAGCGUUCCUGUUCCCAAUGGUAGUGGCCAGGACUGCUCUUAGCCAGAAAAAGGAGAAUGAGAAAAGGCUAGAAUAGUUCCUGGAAAGUAGGAAGUAUAGAAAAAAAACCUGAAAAG
rnacentral:lncRNA from 1 species